rnacentral:rRNA from 1 species
GAUGAACGCUGGCGGCGUGCCUAAUACAUGCGAGUCGAGCGAACAGACGAGGAGCUUGCUCCUCUGACGUUAGCGGCGGACGGGUGAGUAACACGUGGAUAACCUACCUAUAAGACUGGGAUAACUUCGGGAAACCGGAGCUAAUACCGGAUAAUAUAUUGAACCGCAUGGUUCAAUAGUGAAAGACGGUUUUGCUGUCACUUAUAGAUGGAUCCGCGCCGCAUUAGCUAGUUGGUAAGGUAACGGCUUACCAAGGCGACGAUGCGUAGCCGACCUGAGAGGAUGAUCGCCCACAAUGGAACAGAGACACGGUCCAGCCUCCUACGGGAGGCAGCAGGAGGAGAUCUUCCGCAAUGGGCGAUAGCCUGCCGGAGCAGCGCCGCGUGAGAGAUGAAGGUCUUCGGAUCGUGAAACUCUGUUAUUAGGGAAGAACAAAUGUGUAAGUAACUAUGCACGUCUUGACGGUACCUAAUCAGAAAGCCACGGCUAACUACGUG